rnacentral:rRNA from 1 species
UGGGGAAUAUUGCACAAUGGGCGCAAGCCUGAUGCAGCGACGCCGCGUGGGGGAUGACGGCCUUCGGGUUGUAAACUCCUUUCGCUAGGGACGAAGCUUUUUGUGACGGUACCUAGAUAAUAAGCACCGGCUAACUACGUGCCAGCAGCCGCGGUAAUACGUAGGGUGCGAGCGUUGUCCGGAAUUACUGGGCGUAAAGGGCUCGUAGGUGGUUUGUCGCGUCGUCUGUGAAAUUCCGGGGCUUAACUCCGGGCGUGCAGGCGAUACGGGCAUAACUUGAGUACUGUAGGGGUAACUGGAAUUCCUGGUGUAGCGGUGAAAUGCGCAGAUAUCAGGAGGAACACCGAGGGCGAAGGCAGGUUACUGGGCAGUUACUGACGCUGAGGAGCGAAAGCAUGGGUAGCGAACAGG